rnacentral:rRNA from 1 species
AACCCCUGUGACAUACCAAUUGUUGCCUCGGCGGAUCAGCCCGCUCCCGGUAAAACGGGACGGCCCGCCAGAGGACCCCUAAACUCUGUUUCUAUAUGUAACUUCUGAGUAAAACCAUAAAUAAAUCAAAACUUUCAACAACGGAUCUCUUGGUUCUGGCAUCGAUGAAGAACGCAGCAAAAUGCGAUAAGUAAUGUGAAUUGCAGAAUUCAGUGAAUCAUCGAAUCUUUGAACGCACAUUGCGCCCGCCAGUAUUCUGGCGGGCAUGCCUGUUCGAGCGUCAUUUCAACCCUCAAGCCCAGCUUGGUGUUGGGACUCGCGAGUCAAAUCGCGUUCCCCAAAUUGAUUGGCGGUCACGUCGAGCUUCCAUAGCGUAGUAGUAAAACCCUCGUUACUGGUAAUCGUCGCGGCCACGCCGUUAAACCCCAACUUCUGAAUGUUGACCUCGGAUCAGGUAGGAAUACCCGCUGAACUUAAGCAUAUCAAUAAGCGGAGGAAA